GACGAACGCUGGCGGCGUGCUUAACACAUGCAAGUCGAACGGAAAGGCCCUGCUUGCAGGGUACUCGAGUGGCGAACGGGUGAGUAACACGUGGGUGAUCUGCCCUGCACUUCGGGAUAAGCCUGGGAAACUGGGUCUAAUACCGGAUAGGAGCCAUUUUUAGUGUGAUGGUUGGAAAGUUUUUUCGGUGUAGGAUGAGCUCGCGGCCUAUCAGCUUGUUGGUGGGGUAAUGGCCUACCAAGGCGGCGACGGGUAGCCGGCCUGAGAGGGUGGACGGCCACAUUGGGACUGAGAUACGGCCCAGACUCCUACGGGAGGCAGCAGUGGGGAAUAUUGCACAAUGGGCGCAAGCCUGAUGCAGCGACGCCGCGUGGGGGAUGACGGCCUUCGGGUUGUAAACUCCUUUCGCUAGGGACGAAGCUUUUUGUGACGGUACCUAGAUAAGAAGCACCGUCUAACUACGUG
rnacentral:rRNA from 1 species